GAAAAUUAUGAAAUAGAUCACCAAUGUGUCGAAAACUUCUUAGAUUAUUUUGGAAAUACGAAACAGUGGCAUAUUAUAUCGAUUACAUAUUUUUUUUCACUAUAGGCAAACGCUUGACCAUAAUCACACCUGAUGGAAAGUGAUGAUGUGACCUAAGAUGGGUCGCGUUUACCUAGAUGCUUAUUCAUUCUUGUUUUAAAGAUACUCGGAUGUAAUUGAAAGGAAACACAGAUCGAAGAGUAUUACAAACCUUAGCCAUGUGUAUGAGGAAUGAUAACGCGAAACGUUUCAUCCGUGUAGAUGGAAUGUCGACGACAUAAGGAUGGACACUCGCCCGACGACGUCUUGCGGUUCGGUGGUAGAAUGGUAAAGGGGGGACACGAUCGGAAAGUUCCUGUGGACACUCCGAAAUAUAUCCUAUAAAAAACCCGAUAAGCCGGCAACCUUACGGCGGUGAUCGAGACUUUGAUGUUUCGCCAGCAAAGGAAACUAUCACUAACAU